rnacentral:rRNA from 1 species
ACUCCACAUACGCAUCCUUUGCUGAGGAUACGGUUAACGGAGCGAAAGCGACGUUCAACCGCAAAAGAAGCAGAGGGGGCUUAGUGGUGGGGUGACUGCGUACCUUUUGUAUAAUGGGUCAGCGACUUAUAUUCUGUAGCAAGGUUAACCGUAUAGGGGAGCCGGAGGGAAACCGAGUCUUAACCGGGCGUUAAGUUGCAGGGUAUAGACCCGAAACCCGGUGAUCUAGCCAUGGGCAGGUUGAAGGUUGGGUAACACUAACUGGAGGACCGAACCGACUAAUGUUGAAAAAUUAGCGGAUGACCUGUGGCUGGGGGUGAAAGGCCAAUCAAACCGGGAGAUAGCUGGUUCUCCCCGAAAGCUAUUUAGGUAGCGCCUCGUGAAUUCAUCUCCGGGGGUAGAGCACUGUUUCGGCUAGGGGGCCAUCCCGGCUUACCAACCCGAUGCAAACUGCGAAUACCGGAGAAUGUUAUCACGGGAGACACACGGCGGGUGCUAACGUCCGUCGUGAAGAGGGAAACAACCCAGACCGCCAGCUAAGGUCCCAAAGUCAUGGUUAAGUGGGAAACGAUGUGGGAAGGCCCAGACAGCCAGGAUGUUGGCUUAGAAGCAGCCAUCAUUUAAAGAAAGCGUAAUAGCUCACUGGUCGAGUCGGCCUGCGCGGAAGAUGUAACGGGGCUAAACCAUGCACCGAAGCUGCGGCAGCGACGCUGAUGCGUUGUUGGGUAGGGGAGCGUUCUGUAAGCCUGCGAAGGUGGCCUGUGAGGGUUGCUGGAGGUAUCAGAAGUGCGAAUGCUGACAUAAGUAACGAUAAAGCGGGUGAAAAGCCCGCUCGCCGGAAGACCAAGGGUUCCUGUCCAACGUUAAUCGGGGCAGGGUGAGUCGACCCCUAAGGCGAGGCCGAAAGGCGUAGUCGAUGGGAAACGGGUUAAUAUUCCCGUACUUGGUGUUACUGCGAAGGGGGGACGGAGAAGGCUAUGUUGGCCGGGCGACGGUUGUCCCGGUUUAAGCGUGUAGGUGUGUGUUCCAGGUAAAUCCGGUU